ensembl:lncRNA
GCAUGUGUAUUUGGCAACCAACCUGGUGUUGCUAGAGGAAUUUAAAGAACAUUUGCAAUAUGAAGUCUAAAAAGAAACUAAAAAGAUAUGGGUCCUGAGAUCCUCGAAAGGUUCUACAGCUGCAACACCAAGAGCAUCCUGAACGGUUGCAUCACUGCUUGGUACGGUAAUUGCUCGGCUUCCGACCGCAAGACACUUCAGAGGGUAGUGCGACGGCCCAGUACAUCACUGGGGCAAAGCUGCCUGCCAUCCAGGACCUCUACACCAGGCGGUGCCAGAGGAAGGCCACCCCAGACAUAGACUGUUCUCUCUACUACCGCAUGGCAAGCGGUACCAGAGUGCCAAGUCUAGGACAAAAAGGCUUCUCAACUGUUUUUACCCCCAAGCCAUAAGACUCCUGAACAGGUAACCAAAUGAUUACCCGGACUAUUUGCAUUGUGUGCCCCCCCAACCCCUCUUUUUACACUGCUGCUACUCUGUUCGUCAUAUACAGUGCCUUGCAAAAGUAUUCGGCCCCCUUGAACUUUGCGACCUUUUGCCACAUUUCAGGCUUCAAACAUAAAGAU